UUAACCCUCCUUUGUUUAUCUCGCUGUUCCCUGAGCUGAAGCUCCCCUGGAACAACAAUAUGAAGCACGAAAGGGUCGAGGGAGAUGCUGAUGAUACCAAUACCAUGCCGUCGAUGUAAAGUGUUACAGCACAAAAAGGGAUCAGAUCGAAGCAAAGAAGAUGCAUGAGGAAGAGGUUCAUAUUGCAGUCGGCAAGAACUCAAGAAAGGAGAAGCUUAACAUACUAUGGUCUGUUGCCAAUUUUCCAAGGGCCGCUAUAGUUCUUGUGCACGUUCACUGGCCCUCCAAGUGGAUGCCGUUCAUGGGUGGAAGACUGUUAUACAAAUUCGCGGAUGAAAUGGAGAAAGAGAAGCAUAGAAACACAGAAAUGGCAGCAAUGGUCAAUAUGUUAUCUAAGUACAAAAGUCUAUGCGGUACAAGAAAGGUAAGGCUAGAUUAGCCUUAUAUCCAUAUUGCAGGGAUUCUCGAGUUUAUUUUUUAAAAAAAUGUCUACCAAAUUUUUUUAUAAAUUUCAUAAAAGACGUCGUUUCUUAAAGUAUCUCCAAGAGCUCCUUAAGACAUGUACUUAUAUAAAAAAUAGGACAAUAUAAACCACCGCCUGACAGUUUUAUAUUUCCCUUUAUAUUUCCCUUUUUCCAUCAAACACACGUAUUGUCCUGGUUUUCAAUACCUUGAGAGGAUUGAAAU